GAUGAACGCUGGCGGCGUGCCUAAUACAUGCAAGUAGAACGCUGAAGGAAGGAGCUUGCUCUUUCCGGAUGAGUUGCGAACGGGUGAGUAACGCGUAGGUAACCUGCCUGGUAGCGGGGGAUAACUAUUGGAAACGGUAGCUAAUACCGCAUAACAGUAGAUGUUGCAUGAUAUCUACUUAAAAGGUGCAAUUGCACCACUACCAGAUGGACCUGCGUUGUAUUAGCUAGUUGGUGAGGUAACGGCUCACCAAGGCGACGAUACAUAGCCGACCUGAGAGGGUGAUCGGCCACACUGGGACUGAGACACGGCCCAGACUCCUACGGGAGGCAGCAGUAGGGAAUCUUCGGCAAUGGACGGAAGUCUGACCGAGCAACGCCGCGUGAGUGAAGAAGGUUUUCGGAUCGUAAAGCUCUGUUGUAAGAGAAGAACGAGUGUGAGAGUGGAAAGUUCACACUGUGACGGUAUCUUACCAGAAAGAGACGGCUAACUACGUG
rnacentral:rRNA from 1 species